rnacentral:rRNA from 1 species
AACGAACGCUGGCGGCGUGCCUAACACAUGCAAGUCGAACGAGAAAGGGGCUUCGGCCCUGAGUAAAGUUGGCGCACGGGUGAGUAACACGUAGGCAACCUGCCUCUAAGAUUGGAUAACUUGUCGAAAGACGAGCUAAUACCGGAUAAGACCACAGUUUCCCCGGAAACAGGGGUCAAAGGUAGCCUCUAUUUAUAAGCUAUCACUUAGAGAUGGGCCUGCGUACCAUUAGCUUGUUGGUGGGGGUAACGGGCCCACCAAGGCAAAGAUGGUUAGCUGGUCUGAGAGGAUGAUCAGCCACACUGGAACUGAGACACGGUCCAGACUCCUACGGGAGGCAGCAGUGGGGAAUAUUGCGCAAUGGCGCAAGCCUGACGCAGCAACGCCGCGUGAGUGAUGAAGGCCCUCGGGUCGUAAAGCUCUGUCGGAGGGAACGAAUGCUCUUGAGGUUAACAGCCUCGGGAAGUGACGGUACCCUCAAAGGAAGCACCGGCUAACUCUGUGCCAGCAGCCGCGGUAA